rnacentral:rRNA from 1 species
AAGGAUUAUUAAGAAUCUUGCGCAUUAUGCGUACUGCACCGCGCUGGUUCGCUAGUCAACGUGCAGGUUGUGGCAAGUGGCGAGGCCUUCCUGGAUUGCGACUUUUAACGAAGACGUUUACCCUGGACAGAAGCCUAGUCGUUGGUUAACCAACGACUUUAACGAGCCGCUCACGACUGAGUCCUUAUUUAUACUAGUACCUCACCAUAACUAUCCUUCGGUGGCACCUUCGCCGCCGUUGGAACACAUAAACUCUUUUUGCAUCUAGCAUUACCUGUUCUAAUAAAAAUAAUUGUUACAACUUUUAACAAUGGAUCUCUUGGCUCUGGCAUCGAUGAAGAACGCAGCGAAAUGCGAUAAGUAGUGUGAAUUGCAGAAUUUAGUGAAUCAUCAAAUCUUUGAACGCACAUUGCGCCCCUUGGUAUUCCAUGGGGCAUGCCUGUUUGAGCGUCAUCUACACCCUCAAGCUCUGCUUGGUGUUGGGCGUCUGUCCCGCCUCUUGCGCGUGAACUCGCCCCAAAUUCAUUGGCAGCGGUCUUUGCCUCCUCUCGCGCAGCACAUUGCGCUCGUAGGGGUGGAGAUCCGCAUCCACGAAGCACAUUUACCGUCUUUGACCUCGGAUCAGGUAGGGAUACCCGCUGAACUUAAGCAUAUCAAUAAGCGGAGGAAAAGAAACCAACAGGGAUUGCCCUAGUAACGGCGAGUGAAGCGGCAACAGCUCAAAUUUGAAAUCUGGCCCUCUUUGGGGGUCCGAGUUGUAAUUUACAGAGGAUGCUUUGGUAUCAGCGGCGGUCUAAGUUCCUUGGAACAGGACAUCGCAGAGGGUGAGAAUCCCGUACGUGGGCGCCUGCCUUUACCGUGUAAAGCUCCUUCGACGAGUCGAGUUGUUUGGGAAUGCAGCUCUAAAUGGGAGGUAAAUUUCUUCUAAAGCUAAAUACCGGCCAGAGACCGAUAGCGCACAAGUAGAGUGAUCGAAAGAUGAAAAGUACUUUGGAAAGAGAGUCAAAUAGCACGUGAAAUUGUUGAAAGGGAAGCGCUUGCAGCCAGACUUGCCCGCAGUUGCUCACCUAGGCUUUUGCCUGGGGCAUUCUUCUGCGGGUAGGCCAGCAUUAGUUUGGGCGGUUGGAUAAAGGCCUCUGUCAUGUACCACCCUUCGGGGUGGCCUUAUAGGGGAGGCGUAAUGCAACCAGCCCAGACUGAGGUCCGCGCAUCUGCUAGGAUGCUGGCGUAAUGGCUGUAAGCAGCC